rnacentral:rRNA from 1 species
UACGGAGGAUGCAAGCGUUAUCCGGAAUUAUUGGGCGUAAAGCGUCCGCAGGUGGUGGUUCAAGUCUGCUGUCAAAGCGUGGAGCUUAACUCCAUACAGGCAGUGGAAACUGAAUGACUAGAGUUCGGUAGGGGUAGCGGGAAGUCCCAGUGUAGCGGUGAAAUGCGUAGAUAUUGGGAAGAACACCGGCGGCGAAAGCGCGCUACUGGGCCGAGACUGACACUGAGGGACGAAAGCUAGGGGAGCGAAAGGG